rnacentral:misc_RNA from 1 species
GACAGCCACUUCUGCUUACCAGGUAUAAAUUAACCUUUAUGUACUUGUUUCACUCUCAUGUUAGAAUGAAAGUUCUUCCUAUUUUUACUUGUCUAAAAGGAUGACAAUAAUUGACUAAUUAAUACACAAUUAUUCAAUACCUCAUAUAGGAUUAUGCAUAGAAAUAUUUAUUUAAUACCUCAUUUAUGGUAUUUAGAUCGAAGGUGAAGCAACAACA